UGUAAGCGUAUACCAAAGUUGUUGCAGUUAAAACGCUCGUAGUCGGAAUUUUGCAGUUCCGGAAGUGUGCACGUCGUGUGCGCACUUUGCGGGGACUGCUUUUGUGGUCUUGCGUAGGAUGAGGCACUUUCAUUAGUGAACGUCCUCACGCAACCACUCUUUACUGUGAGAAAAUCAGAGUGCUCAAAGCAGGCAUUUGCCGUGAAUGUAUUAGCAUGGAAUAAUAGAAUAGGACUCGGUUCUAUUUUGUUGGUUUGUUGGGACUGAGUAAUGAUUAAGAGGGACAGUUGGGGGCAUUUGUAUUCCGGCGCUAGAGGUGAAAUUCUUAGAUUGCCGGAAGACAAACUGCUGCGAAAGCGUCUGCCAAGGAUGUUUUCAUUGA
rnacentral:rRNA from 1 species